rnacentral:rRNA from 1 species
GACGAACGCUGGCGGCGUGCCUAAUACAUGCAAGUAGAACGCAGUUGCGAACGGGUGAGUAACGCGUAGGUAAAUACCUCAUAGCGGGGGAUAAAUAUUGGAAACGAUAGCUAAUACCGCAUAGUAUGAGAUGGACCUGAGUUGUUUUAGCUAGUUGGUGGGGUAAAGGCUCACCAAGGCGACGAUACAUAGCCGACCUGAGAGGGUGAUCGGCCAAAAUGGGACUGAGACACGGGCCAGAACCCUACGGGGGGCAGCAGUAGGGAAUCGUCGGCAAUGGACGGCAGGCUGAACGAGCAACGCCGCGUUGGUGAAGAAGGUUUUCGGAUCGUAAAGCUAUGUUGUUAGAGAAGCGGUAACUAACGAGAAAGGGACGGCUAACUACGUGCCAGCAGCCGCGGUAAUUC